CACGAUGACGUCGGUCUCGCCCCGUGAACACGUCGAACCCCCGUUAACUCGCUGCACCAAACCACGUGUAGCCCUCAGACUGAAUGGAGUGUGGGGGACAAGACUGGACUGGCUACACUGUAAAGUCUCUGUCAUCCACCAUGUGGUCACAUGACUGUUCAACAGACCCCCCUCUUCAGCCUUAUUUGAAAAGGGAGAGAGGGUGGUGACGAGAGGAGAAGGGGGCCAAGCAUAGAUACCUGUGGUACCUCAGGGGUAACUAAAGGACCGCCGGAGCCAAAGUGACCAAUUCAGAGUGGCACAAUAUGAAGA